UAUGUACUCCCUCCGUUCCGAAUUACUUGUCGCAGGUAUGGAUGUAUCUAGAUGUAUUUUAGUUCUAGAUACAUCAAUUUCUGCGACGAGUAAUUUGGAACGGAGGAAGUACUCC
rnacentral:pre_miRNA from 1 species